GAAAUGCGAUAAGUAAUGUGAAUCGCAGAAUUCAGUGAAUCAUCGAAUCUUUGAACGCGCCUUGCGCUCCUUGGUAUUCCUUGGAGCAUGCCUGUUUGAGUAUCAUGAAAUCUUCAAAGUAAAUCUUUUGUUAACUCAAUUGGUUUCUACUUUGGUAUUGGAGGUCUUUGCAGCUUCACACCUGCUCCUCUUUGUUCAUUAGCUGGAUCUCAGUGUUAUGCUUGGUUCCACUCGGCGUGAUAAGUUAUCUAUCGCUGAGGACACUGUAAAAGGUGGCCAAGGUAAAUGCAGAUGAACCGCUUCUAAUAGUCCAUUGACUUGGACAAUACUUUUAUGAUCUGAUCUCAAAUCAGGUAGGACUACCCGCUGAACUUAAGC
rnacentral:misc_RNA from 1 species